UGGGGCUAGGGUAAGGUUGAAGGUUUUUGGCAUUAGGGUUAAAAUCACUGUCCAAAACCUUUGUAGGAACUCUGUUUCAACCUUUUGGAGUUAGUUAACCAAAAAAAAAAAAAAAAAUGAAAAAAAAAUAUUUGGGGUGUUCGGGCUUCCUGAAGGUAAUACCCGGGUAUUAGGUUAUGGGGCUAGGGUAAGGUUUAAGGUUUUUGGCGUUAGGGUUAAAAUCACUGUCCAAAACCUUUGUAGGAACUCUUUUUCAACCUUUUGGAGUUAGUUAGACCAAAAAAAAAAUGAAAAAUGAAAAAAAAAUAUUUGGGGUGUUCAAGCUUCCUGAAGGUAAUACCCGGGUAUUAGGUUAUGGGGCUAGGGUAAGGUUUAAGGUUUUUGGGUUAGGGUUAAAAUCACUGUCCAAAACCUUUGUAGGAACUCUUUUCCAACCUUUUGGAGUUAGUUAGACCCAAAAAAAAUGAAAAAUGAAAAAAAAAUAUUUGGGGUGUUCGGGCUUCCUGAAGGUAAUACCCGGGUAUUAGGUUAUGGGGCUAGGGUAAGGUUUAAGGUUUUUGGCGUUAGGGUUAAAAUCACUGUCCAAAACCUUUGUAGGAACUCUUUCCAACCUUUUGGAGUUAGUUAGACCAAAAAAAAUGAAAAAUGAAAAAAAAUAUAUUUGGGGUUUCGGGCUUCCUGAAGGUAAUACCCGGGUAUUAGGUUAUGGGGCUAGGGUAAGGUUUAAGGUUUUUGGCGUUAGGGUUAAAAUCACUGUCCAAAACCUUUGUAGGAACUCUUUUCCAACCUUUUGGAGUUAGUUCCACCAAAAAAAAAAAAAGUAAAAUGAAAAAAAAUAUUUGGGGUGUUCGGGCUUCCUGAAGGUAAUACCCGGGUAUUAGGUUAUGGGGCUAGGGUAAGGUUUAAGGUUUUUGGCGUUAGGGUUAAAAUCACUGUCCAAAACCUUUGUAGGAACUCUUUUCAACCUUUUGGAAUUAGUUAGAUCCAAAAAAAUGAAAAAUGAAAAAAAAAUAUUUGGGGUUUUCGGGCUUCCUGAAGGUAAUACCCGGGUAUUAGGUUAUGGGGCUAGGGUAAGGUUUAAGGUUUUUGAGUUAGGGUUAAACUCACUGUCCAAAACCUUUGUAGGAACUCUUUUCCAACCUUUUGGAGUUAGUUAGACCAAAAAAAAACGAAAAAUGAAAAAAAAAAUGUUUGGGGUGUUCGGGCUUCCUGAAGGUAAUACCCGGGUAUUAGGUUAUGAGGCUAGGGUAAGGUUUAAGGUUUUUGGCGUUAGGGUUAAAAUCACUGUCCAAAACCUUUGUAGGAACUCUUUUCCAACCUUUUGGAGUUAGUUAGACCCAAAAAAAAAUUAAAAAUUAAAAAACAAUAUUUGGGGUGUUCGGGCUUCCUGAAGGUAAUACCCGGGUAUUAGGUUAUGGGGCUAGGGUAAGGUUUAAGGUUUUUGGCGUUAGGGUUAAAAUCACUGUCCAAAACCUUUGCAGGAACUCUUUUCUAACCUUUUGGAGUUAGUUAGACCAAAAAAAAAAAAAAGAAAUGAAAAAAAAAUAUUUGGGGUGUU